rnacentral:rRNA from 1 species
AACGAACGCUGGCGGCGUGCUUAACACAUGCAAGUCGAGCGAGAAAGGGAGCUUCGGCACCUGAGUAAAGCGGCGCACGGGUGAGUAACACGUGGGUAACCUGCCUUUCAGUGGGGGAUAACAGCCCGAAAGGGCUGCUAAUACCGCAUUCGUCCACACGGUCACAUGUCUGUGUGGAGAAAGAGGCGCAAGUCUCGCUGGAAGAUGGGCCCGCGGUCCAUUAGCUAGUUGGUGGGGUAAAGGCCUACCAAGGCUUCGAUGGAUAGCUGGUCUGAGAGGAUGAUCAGCCACACUGGAACUGAGACACGGUCCAGACUCCUACGGGAGGCAGCAGUGGGGAAUAUUGCGCAAUGGGCGAAAGCCUGACGCAGCAACGCCGCGUGUGUGAUGAAGGCCUCGG